rnacentral:lncRNA from 1 species
AUCCCUCACAGGGUAGCAGCAAGUGAAAGGGAUCCCCCUGGCCUUGAGGAGCUCACAUCUACUUAUUUCCCAGGGGUCUCUGUCCAGUGCCCACACAUGCCUGGCAUGUAGUAGGUGCCUCAUCCACAUCUGGUGAAAGAGUGGAAAGCAGAGUGCAGUGAAUAGAAGACACUUCUCUGCACCCCAAAAGCUCCAUGCUGAUUGUGAGAAGGAAAUGCUGGAUGGAGGGGUUCCUGGAACUACUGUGAGGGUUUCUUUUGAUUUCUCCUGCUUAGAAAUGGUGAGAGAACUUUGGAUGUGGAACGUGGAGGAGGAGGAACACGAAGUGGGGAUCUCCACUUGGGGUGGUCAGCACUGCGGGUGCCCAGCAAAGUCACUGCCUGGUCCACAUCCCGGAGGGGUCUCUGCGCCUCAGUCGGCAUCGCAGCUGAUGGUGAAACUUUUGGUGUGGCAGAAGAGUGUCCACAAACUUCGGAAGAUCGCUGCUCAGAGUGAGGAAUGGAGUUGUGUUUUGAAUAAAAUAUCCACGCA